rnacentral:rRNA from 1 species
AGCAGCCGCGGUAAUUCCAGCUCCAAUAGCGUAUAUUAAAGUUGUUGCAGUUAAAAAGCUCGUAGUUGAAUUUCGGGGUUCUACCGUUGGUCGGGCUAUUGUCUGUACUGGCGUGUGGAAUUUCUACCUUCUGGGGAACCAUCAUGUUAUUAAUUUAGCGUGGUGGGAAACCAGGACUUUUACCUUGAAAAAUUAGAGUGUUCAAAGCAGGCUUACGUCUGAAUACAUUAGCAUGGAAUAAUAAAAUAGGACGGUGGUCCUGUUUUGUUGGUUUCUGAAUCACCGUAAUGAUUAAUAGGGAUAGUUGGGGGCAUUAGUAUUCAAUUGUCAGAGGUGAAAUUCUUGGAUUUAUUGAAGACUAACUUCUGCGAAAGCAUUUGCCAAGGAUGUUUUCAUUAAUCAAGAACGAAAGUUAGGGGAUCGAAGACGAUCAGAUACCGUCGUAGUCUUAACCAUAAACUAUGCCGACUAGGG